GGAGGUUACUCCUGGGGACAGUCUUGUGACGGAUUUCAGUGUAAGGUCCCCAUGGAGGCAGGGGGGACACAGGUGUUGAGGGGUUGGUGCCAAAGAGACCUGUGGCCGGGAGAGAGAGGGGAGGGACUCCAGAGCACUUCAUGGGGGGGUCUUGGUUGCUGCUGCAUUUCAUCUGGAAGGGCCAGGUGGAAGACGACAAACUGCUUUCUGCUAACAUCGCUCUUGCAGGUAAUUUGUGUGAGAGAACUGUCCGUGUUGGCUCUAUGUCAGUAAAAGAUAAUCAAACACAGUUGCAUUUGGUAGAGUCUGCCUGGGGCUACCUAAGCUUCUUCCCUCCAAGAGGAAAUAUCGCAAGGUGGUUACCGCCGAGACGACUGCUCCAUGACUGUCCUGCUGGGAACUGCAAACACCAGGCUGGGUCUGCUGCACCAUCUUCCCCUCCUGUGCGUUGAAGAGUUCUUCUCUCUGUGUCACCCAUGAGGACAGGCCAGCCUAACUUCAUCCCCAAAUGCAGGAUACACCGAAAGGCAUGCAAACUCCCAGAAAAUUAUGACACACAGGACAAGAUAGUGGUUGACGCUGCUUAGUGGAGCAGUAAAGAGAUGACCAAAGAUGAAAAUGGUGCCCGACAUGCAGCUCCUUGUGAUCUGCGUGGAGGUCCCCCGCUACACUGCUCAUCAUGGCUGCUGUCGCUUGAGCUUGGCCAUGGGACCUGGAGGGCUUCUGGCUGUUGACAUCUGAUUUUGGUACCCACCUUCUCAAAGCAAGCCUUCCCACAGGGGGCUGAGCUGUUUCUGGACAAGAGAGGUCUCUCCCUAUGAACCUGAAGAAUAAACUCAGGCAAGUGAAGAUCUCUGUACUCAUGGAAAAGAAUCCCUGUCCUUCCACCAGGCCCACUCAGAAUGUGCG